UUUUUUUAGAGUUUGAUUCCCGCUCAGGACGAACGCUGGCGGCGGCGUGCCUAAUACAUGCAAGUCGAACGCUUCUUUUCCCACCGGAGCUUGCUCCACCGGGAAAAGAGGAGUGGCGAACGGGUGAGUAACACGUGGGUAACCUGCCCAUCAGAAGGGGAUAACACUUGGAAACAGGUGCUAAUACCGUAUAACAAUCGAAACCGCAUGGUUUCGUUUUGAAAGGCGCUUUACGGUGCCGCUGAUGGAUGGACCCGCGGUGCAUUAGCUAGUUGGUGAGGUAACGGCUCACCAAGGCCACGAUGCAUAGCCGACCUGAGAGGGUGAUCGGCCACAUUGGGACUGAGACACGGCCCAAACUCCUACGGGAGGCAGCAGUAGGGAAUCUUCGGCAAUGGACGAAAGUCUGACCGAGCAACGCCGCGUGAGUGAAGAAGGUUUUCGGAUCGUAAAACUCUGUUGUUAGAGAAGAACAAGGGUGAGAGUAACUGUUCACCCCUUGACGGUAUCUAACCAGAAAGCCACGGCUAACUACGUGCCAGCAGCCGCGGUAAUACGUAGGUGGCAAGCGUUGUCCGGAUUUAUUGGGCGUAAAGCGAGCGCAGGCGGUUUCUUAAGUCUGAUGUGAAAGCCCCCGGCUCAACCGGGGAGGGUCAUUGGAAACUGGGAGACUUGAGUGCAGAAGAGGAGA
rnacentral:rRNA from 1 species